UAUUGAGACCAUCACGUUUUCUUUAGACUGCUAUGUGAAUUACUCUCAUGAGAAUUGUAGUGCCAAACUAGUUCGUCUCUACGAGCUUGUAAGGGAAUUGAAGAGGAAUCUUUUUAAUAAUAUCUAUAUCGCUCAGGUCUACCUUACCUUCUAACAUCUCAACCUUCCAAAUAAAUUUAUCUUUAUCAAUUAGAUCAGUCACCAAAAGCUCAUCAUCAAUAUUACUAUGGAACGACAACAAUUUAAG
rnacentral:lncRNA from 1 species